GACGAACGCUGGCGGCGUGCCUAAUACAUGCAAGUAGAACGCACAGUUUAUACCGUAGCUUGCUACACCAUAGACUGUGAGUUGCGAACGGGUGAGUAACGCGUAGGUAACCUGCCUGGUAGCGGGGGAUAACUAUUGGAAACGAUAGCUAAUACCGCAUAAUAUUAAUUAUUGCAUGAUAAUUAAUUGAAAGGUGCAAUUGCACCACUACCAGAUGGACCUGCGUUGUAUUAGCUAGUAGGUGAGGUAACGGCUCACCUAGGCGACGAUACAUAGCCGACCUGAGAGGGUGGUCGGCCACACUGGGACUGAGACACGGCCCAGACUCCUACGGGAGGCAGCAGUAGGGAAUCUUCGGCAAUGGACGAAAGUAUGACCGAGCAACGCCGCGUGAGUGAAGAAGGUUUUCGGAUCGGAAAGCUCUGUUGUAAGAGAAGAACGGGUGUGAGAGUGGAAAGUUCACACUGUGACGGUAUCUUACCAGAAAGGGACGGCUAACUACGUG
rnacentral:rRNA from 1 species